CGUAGUAAGCUCUUGAAACUGUAAGACUUGAGUGCAGGAGAGGAGAGUAGAAUUCCUAGUGUAGCGGUGAAAUGCGUAGAUAUUAGGAGGAAUACCAGUUGCGAAGGCGGCUCUCUGGACUGUAACUGACGCUGAGGCACGAAAGCGUGGGGAGCAAACAGGAUUAGAUACCCUGGUAGUCCACGCCGUAAACGAUGAGUACUAGCUGUCGGAGGUUACCCCCUUCGGUGGCGCAGCUAACGCAUUAAGUACUCCGCCUGGGAAGUACGCUCGCAAGAGUGAAACUCAAAGGAAUUGACGGGGACCCGCACAAGUAGCGGAGCAUGUGGUUUAAUUCGAAGCAACGCGAAGAACCUUACCUAAGCUUGACAUCCUUUUGACCGAUGCCUAAUCGCAUCUUUCCCUUCGGGGACAGAAGUGACAGGUGGUGCAUGGUUGUCGUCAGCUCGUGUCGUGAGAUGUUGGGUUAAGUCCCGCAACGAGCGCAACCCUUGCCUUUAGUUGCCAGCAUUAAGUUGGGCACUCUAGAGGGACUGCCAGGGAUAACCUGGAGGAAGGUGGGGAUGACGUCAAAUCAUCAUGCCCCUUAUGCUUAGGGCUACACACGUGCUACAAUGGGUGGUACAGAGGGCAGCCAAACCGUGAGGUGGAGCUAAUCCCUUAAAGCCAUUCUCAGUUCGGAUUGUAGGCUGAAACUCGCCUACAUGAAGCUGGAGUUACUAGUAAUCGCAGAUCAGAAUGCUGCGGUGAAUGCGUUCCCGGGUCUUGUACACACCGCCCGUCACACCACGGAAGUUGGGGGCGCCCGAAGCCGGAUAGCUAACCUUUUGGAAGCGUCCGUCGAAGGUGAAAUCAAUAACUGGGGUGAAGUCGUAACAAGGUAGCCGUAUCGGAAGGUGCGGCUGGAUCACCUCCUUUCUAAGGAGAAUUGCCUACUGUUUAAUUUUGAGAGUUCAUUGAAUAAAUGAAAAUCUCAAAAAAACGCGCGUAGCGCAGACUCAUUAAUUUGAGCAACGUAGCACGACCGAAUGGGAGUGACCGUUGGCGAUAUGCGAAGCAUUUUAGUACUUUGAAAACUGUAUAACAUUUAGUGAUAUGACAUCAUUUUUUAUAAAUAGACAAGAAAAGUCUUUAAAAUAACUUUAAUAACUGGUCAAGUUAUUAAGGGUGCAGGGCGGAUGCCUUGGCACUAGGAGCCGAUGAAGGACGUGAUAAGCUGCGAUAAGCUUCGGGGAGUUGCACGUAAACUUUGAUCCGAAGAUUUCCGAAUGAGGAAACUCACUUAGAGUAAUGUCUAAGUAUCGUUAAGUGAAUACAUAGCUUAGCGAGGGGAACCCGGGGAACUGAAACAUCUAAGUACCUGGAGGAAGAGAAAGAAAAAUCGAUUCCGUAAGUAGCGGCGAGCGAACGCGGAACAGGCCAAACCAACAAAGUUUUCUUUGUUGGGGUUGCGGACAUAUCAUCAACGAAGAGGCUAUUGUAGACGAAGAGAGUUGGAAAGCUCCGCUAUAAAGUGUAACAGCCACGUAGUCAAAACGAGAAGACUUCAGAUAUGAUCCAGAGUACCACGGGACACGUGAAACCCUGUGGGAAGCAGGAGGGACCAUCCUCCAAGCCUAAAUACUACCUAGUGACCGAUAGCGCAUAGUACCGUGAGGGAAAGGUGAAAAGAACCCCGGGAGGGGAGUGAAAUAGAACCUGAAACCCUGCACUUACAAGCUGUGGGAGCACAUUUCUUGUGUGACCGCGUACUUUUUGUAGAACGGGCCAACGAGUUACGUUAAGUAGCAAGGUUAAGCACUUAAGGUGUGGAGCCGUAGCGAAAGCGAGUCUUAAAUGGGCGANNNNNCUUGUCGGGUAAGUUCCGACCCGCACGAAAGGCGUAACGAUUUGGGCACUGUCUCAACAAUAGACUCGGUGAAAUUGUAAUCCCGGUGAAGAUGCCGGGUACCUGCGACAGGACGGAAAGACCCCAUGGAGCUUUACUGUAGCUUGACGUUGGGUCUUGGUACUACAUGUACAGGAUAGGUGGGAGACUAUGAAGCAUGGACGCCAGUCUGUGUGGAGUCAUCCUUGGGAUACCACCCUUGUAGUACUGGGAUCCUAACCAGAGGCCUUGAAUCAGGUCUUGGGACACCGUCAGGUGGGCAGUUUGACUGGGGCGGUCGCCUCCCAAAAAGUAACGGAGGCGCUCAAAGGUUUCCUCAGCACGGUCGGAAAUCGUGCGAAGAGUGUAAAGGCAAAAGGAAGCUUGAUUGCAAGACAUACAGGUCGAGCAAGGACGAAAGUCGGACUUAGUGAUCCGGUGGUUCCGCAUGGAAGGGCCAUCGCUCAACGGAUAAAAGCUACCCUGGGGAUAACAGGCUUAUCUCCCCCAAGAGUCCACAUCGACGGGGAGGUUUGGCACCUCGAUGUCGGCUCAUCACAUCCUGGGGCUGUAGUAGGUCCCAAGGGUUGGGCUGUUCGCCCAUUAAAGUGGUACGCGAGCUGGGUUCAGAACGUCGUGAGACAGUUCGGUCCCUAUCCGUCGCAGGCGUAGGAAAUUUGAGGAGACCUGUCCUUAGUACGAGAGGACCGGGAUGGACGUACCUCUGGUGUACCAGUUGUUCUGCCAAGGGCAUGGCUGGGUAGCUAUGUACGGAAUGGAUAAGCGCUGAAAGCAUCUAAGCGCGAAGCCAACUUCAAGAUAAGAUUUCCCACCGUAAGGGUAAGACCCCAGGAAGACUACCUGGUUGAUAGGUCGAAGGUGUAAGUGCAGUAAUGUAUUUAGCUUAUCGAUACUAAUAGGUCGAGGACUUGACC
rnacentral:rRNA from 1 species